UAUCAGCCUGGAUAGGUUACUGGCAGGUCACCGUCCACUGGUCAAGCCAGAAGUCAUGCAGAUGACAAGCAAUGGUGGGUUCAUUUAACAUCGAUAUCACAACUAUCCUGGGAAAGGCGUCACCAACAGCCAAAUUCCAAAGAAUACACUGAUUGGUUCUGAUUAAGAUAUGUAGGAGCUAUGGAUGUCAGUGGAUGUUGUAUACUUGGAUUUCCAGGAGGCCUUUGACACAAGAUGCUGCUUAACAAGGCUCUUACUGACUGGAGUUGGAAAGACUCUGCUGCAUUGUCAGCUUCAUUUUGACCCCAAGAAUUCUUCCUGUGGUAUCAGUUAUGAACCCUCUAUUGAGAGAAAUCAUUCUAUGAAGAGGUUGCCUGUGAAUCAACACCUUCCAGAACCAUCACUUAAUGGAGAGUCAGCAGCUGUGGGAAAGCAAAAAUUGAUUAUAUCUGAAAAAUGGCCUCAAAAAGGUUUUUCCCACAAGGAAGAGAGAGAAGUAAUUGAAACAACAGCGGGUCUCUUUACCUGGAGAAUUGUGACACAACCAAGGAUGUCAUGGUUGGAGAAUUCAGCCAUAAGCCAUGCUGCAAUGGCAGUGCUCAGCUGUUCCUGCUAAUCAGAGUAUGAACAGUGUAUGGUGAUCUAAUCUCAUCAACUUUCUCCUGAUGCAAGUUUCACCACUGUCCCACUUCCAUAACCCAGAUGAUGCUUUUUGUGACCAAGUAUCAUCUGCUGUUGGAACUUCUCUUCAAGGGCAUAAGAAAGGAAGUCCUUGGAAUAACACACAAAAUGCUAAAGGAAUUCAAUGGGGCAGGAAGCAUCUAUAGAAGAAAAUGAACAGUCAUUGUUUGGGACCAAGACACUUCAACAGAACUAUUUAUUUUCCUCUAUAGAUGCUGUAUGACACAUAAGGUUCCUCUAGCAUUUUGUGCGUGGUGCUCCAGAUUUCAAGCAUCUGUAGUCUCUCUUGUGUCUCCAAGUCUUUGAAAUAUUUCAUUAUCCCUUUAUUUGACAUUAAACUUGCUCUGGUUUGAAGCCUUUAGUGGAUACACUGAGAACCAGAAGCCCAGCUAAAAAUCCUGUCAUUAACUCUUCUGUAUAAAACUACCCAGCAGCCACUUUCAUGU